UCUUCCAAUCUUUCAACAUACGCAUGAUUAAUUGUUUUCUUGUAAAUAUUUCAGGGUCCUCCAGGUCCCACUGGUCUCCAGGGUGUGAUCGGAGCUCCUGGUCCAGCUGGCACCGACGGCGAGGCGGGCCCCAGGGGACAGCAGGGUAUGUUCGGACAGAAGGGAGACGAAGGACCGCGAGGGUUCCCCGGCCUCCCUGGACCCAUCGGACUGCAAGGUUUGCCCGGCCCUCCUGGUGAGAAGGGAGAGAAUGGAGAU
rnacentral:lncRNA from 1 species